rfam:Oryza nivara chromosome 10, whole genome shotgun sequence.
AAUACUUGUCGUUUUGAGUUUUUGUUUGUAAAAGUUUGAUCAUUCGUCUUAUUCGAAAGAUUAUAGAAUUAUUAUUUAUUUUGUUUGUGACUUGCUUUAUUAUCAAAUGUACUUUAAGUAUGAAUUAUCCUUUUUUAUAUUUGUACUAAUUUUUCAAAUAAGACGAAUGGUCAAACGUUGCAAGCAAAAAGUCAAAGUGACAUCUAUU